ensembl:lncRNA
CUAGAGCAUGAGGGACAGUGAUUUCUCGGCGCUGUGGAAGUCAGGCUACAGCAGCUCAUUUCCGGUCACCCCUGGCUAUUGGACUCACUGCACCCGCUCAUUCAGGAUUUCAUUCUCCACGAACUUCAUCUUCACCCCCCAACCACCGCUACCGCUCGCCUGCUUGCCUCAAAGGAGGAUGUGCGGUCCGAACUGCCGGACGUGGAGUUACCCAGCCCAUCGGAGCCGUCUCAAAAGGAGGAAGCGACGUUUGUGUCAACGGCGCGGCACCCCACAGCCGGAUUUCAGGAUGUUAAAGCAGCCGGCUGUGAUGUGGAGUGCCUACGUGGAGGAGACUAGGGUGCCUUGGUGGUGGGAUCUUCUGAGUGUACACACCUGCCUUGUUUAAUUUAUUAGUGUGAGUCUGUGAUAGUGUGCUGCACUUGUGUCUUGGUGUAUCUUUUUCUUUUGAGUUUGUGUGUGGCAUCCCUGCCCUCCACUGGUAAGCCUCGGCUCUGGAUACCUUUUUUUUAAGCAUAUUUAUACACUGAGAUUUAUGACUGUGCUUUUAUACGUUGUUUUAAUUAAUAAAUUGUUAACUUAUUUUAUCAUUGAACCUCGUCUCUGUACUGAGUAUAACAAACCUAACUGCCUUCUUGGUGAUUAGUGUUACCUCCAGUAUUCUCUGGGUGAAAUUCCCAGGGUGGCGUUGUCUUGUAAACUGUGAAGCGCAUUUACUUUAUUCCCACCUCGUGCUGCCACACAGACGAAGCCAUCAACCUGGACGACGUGUACAACCACUGGAGACGUGAGAAGGACAGACGGGAAAAAUAAGGUGAAAUUUAAGCUCUUAAUAAGUUUACUACUCAUCUGGUGUCAUUUAUUGAGUUUUCAUUUAUGGAUAUUGAUCAUUAAAUAUUGUCACCAGUUUAUGAGUAUUAGAAAUGCAAAUAAUUGUGUCAUUAUAUACUGUAUUUUGCAGACAAAGAGUUACAGGACAGUAGGACUGUCUCCCAGACCGCAGUAGGACAGGAGGACCAGGAGCUUCACAGACUGGCUCAUACUCAUCAUAACACAAGUCAGAGCUUUAUAAUAAAAAUAUUAAGUUUCAAAAUUAGAGUUUAUAAUAGGCUUGAUUUGGUUGGCAGUUCAUGUUUUGCCAUAGUUAAAGUUAAAUAUUCAUACUUCCAAUAGCGUUGACAUAGAGCACAGGUCAUUAAAAAGAUUUUUGUAAUUUUCUCUGUAAAUGGGCUAAAGCUCUUAAUUAAAGGUAUUCUAACAGAAAUGUAAAUGCUGUAAUUUGGCUCUUUUUAUAAACCAUGUAACUUCGAUGGAUGCGAUGCUGUCGUGACCACAUUGUACACAUUUAAUGUCGCUCACAGUGGUCCAAGGGUUCGCUCAGGGGGUCUGUGAGUUCGCUCACACACCUGAAAAAUGAGAGGGAACAUUGGUCAUGCCUCAUCAGCUGGACGGUCCGAGGAGCCCGUCCGGCAUCACGUCUCAUUAGCUGGGGGUCCUGGAGGACCCAGCCAGCAUAUCCUCGUGUCCGCUGACGGCUCUAGGGAGUCCGUUCAGCCACCACCUGCAACUUCCACACCAUCACCUGCAGCGUCACCACCUGCGGCUGUCCCGCCUCCGUCUGGUUCCGCGGCUGUCCCGCCUCCGUCUGGUCCCGCCUUGUCUGGUCCCGCCUUGUCUGGUCCCGCCUUGUCUGGUCCCGCGGUUGCUACACUGCCGUCGGACCCAGCUCGGCCUGUACCACCUCACCUCGCCUUCUCUGGCUGCUUUCCAGGCCUCUAGUUGGAUGCCAUCACCGUCGAAAGCGGCCUCCGGAACGAGUAUGUCGCUUCCGCCGGCUUCAUGGCCGGCCUCCGGAACAAGUUCGUCGUCGCCGCUGACUUCACGGCCGACCUCUGGACCUGCUCUGUUGCUGCCACUGCCUUCCGCGUGGCCGGCCUCCUGACUUGUUUCGCCUGCGUUGCCGCCGCCGCUACUGCUGUCUGCAUGGCCGCCCCCCUGAACUGUUUUGGAUUUGGCUCAUGUGCUGUCGACCUCCGGGUCGACCCCCUGAACUUUUUUGUGGACUCAUGUUUGAUCUGGUUUAGCCCCCCGCUUCCCUUGUUUCGUCAAUUACUUCCAGCUAUGUUCCCCACCUGUGUGUAAUCUCCCAGUGUUCUUCUGUGUGUAUUUAAGUCGUGUCUUCUCGUGUGCUGGUCGCUGGUCUGUCUGUGUUUCAACCGUGUGUUCACCCUGCUGUCCAACUUCAGGUUCAUCUGCUCACCUUCCUUCAUGUUCGUGUUCAUGUUUGCUGUUCAGUAGUUUAGUUUGUCCCAGUAUAGAUUAGUUUUGUUUCCGUUUUGCCAUUUCCACCUUGUGCUUUAUUUUUUCAAUAAACCUCCUUCGCAUCUACAAGUGCCUGCGCUUGGAUCCUCAUUUUGGAUCCUCAUGUGGCACAAGUCAUUGCUAAUAAACAAGGUAGCCGAGAAGAAAUGUCCAGUCGCCCACUUAACGGACGACAAGACAAGCAAAAUGAAGAACAACGGCAAGUUCUGUUUAAUAUUUUUCUCCUUACCUUCCAUAAAGCUAAGCAUGCACGCCCCAUGUCUUCAUAUUCUGAGGAUAUUCCUUUAUUGAAGCAGCUAGGAGUAAAUGUUGGAUGUGCGUCUAAUUCAUGUGAAGGGGGCACACGGAUCGUGCAGAGCAUCGCUCACACCACCAGUGCAGUCUGACGA